AUACGUAGGUGACAAGCGUUAUCCGGAUUUACUGGGCGUAAAGGGCGUGUAGGCGGUCUUGCAAGUCAGAAGUGAAAUUCCUGAGCUCAACUCGGGCGCUGCUUCUGAAACUGCAGGACUUGAGUGCUGGAGGGGAUAGCGGAAUUCCUAGUGGAGCGGUAAAAUGCGCAGAUAUUAGGAAGAACACCGGUGGCGAAGGCGGCUAUCUGGACAGUAACUGACGCUGAGGCUCGAAAGCGUGGGGAGCAAACAGGAUUAGAUACCCUGGUAGUCCACGCUGUAAACGAUGAUUACUAGGUGUGGGGGGACUGACCCCUUCCGUGCCGCAGUUAACACAAUAAGUAAUCCACCUGGGGAGUACGGCCGCAAGGUUGAAACUCAAAUGAAUUGGCGGGG
rnacentral:rRNA from 1 species